UCCCUGAUAGCUCAGUUGGUGAAGAAUCUGCCUGCAAUGCAGGAGACCCCUGGUUUGAUUCCUGAGUUGGGAAA
rfam:Ovis aries breed Texel chromosome 1, whole genome shotgun sequence.